UUAUUUUCCCUACAAUUGCAUACUAGUUGAAAUAAUAGAAAGAAAAUCAACAUGACCUUAUACAAGGAUGAGACAAGCAAAUCUAGAAACGGUCCAACUUCAC
rnacentral:snRNA from 1 species